GACGAACGCUGGCGGCGUGCUUAACACAUGCAAGUCGAACGGAAAGGCCCUGCUUUUGUGGGGUGCUCGAGUGGCGAACGGGUGAGUAACACGUGAGUAGCCUGCCCUUGACUUUGGGAUAACUUCAGGAAACUGGGGCUAAUACCGGAUAGGAGCUCCUGCUGCAUGGUGGGGGUUGGAAAGUUUCGGCGGUUGGGGAUGGACUCGCGGCUUAUCAGCUUGUCGGUGGGGUAGUGGCUUACCAAGGCUUUGACGGGUAGCCGGCCUGAGAGGGUGACCGGCCACAUUGGGACUGAGAUACGGCCCAGACUCCUACGGGAGGCAGCAGUGGGGAAUAUUGCACAAUGGGCGGAAGCCUGAUGCAGCAACGCCGCGUGCGGGAUGACGGCCUUCGGGUUGUAAACCGCUUUCGCCUGUGACGAAGCGUGAGUGACGGUAAUGGGUAAAGAAGCACCGGCUAACUACGUG
rnacentral:rRNA from 1 species